rnacentral:tmRNA from 1 species
GGGGAUGACAGGCUUCGACGGGGAAGGCUGACCACGGAUGGCAAGCCGGGGCGCUCUGCCCCCGUUAACAACAGAGCACACACUCCAAAGUGCCAACAACACUUGGAUUCCUGUCCCGCAGGCCGCGAUGGCCGCCAUUCCAUUGGCAGCCUAAUCCGGCUCAAGGGACAAACUGACCGCACAGACGGUCACGUCCGCCCUGGCCUCGCGUCGGUGGGCCGGGGGCCGGGCGUAAGAGAGCCGGCGUGCACCACUCCGACGCCGAUAGGAGUGCUCAAGCGGGAGUUUCGGCUCCCAUCGGCUGGGUCCGGGUGUAGCGCGGUCGGCGGCGACUCCCCGGGCGAGAGGUAAAAGGCCGACUACGCUUGUAGAAGUCCCUGGUCGAGUUCCUCGGACGCGGGUUCGAUUCCCGCCAUCUCCAC